UAGGGAAUCUUCCACAAUGGGCGCAAGCCUGAUGGAGCAACACCGCGUGAGUGAAGAAGGUUUUCGGAUCGUAAAGCUCUGUUGUAAGAGAAGAACGUGUGUGAGAGUGGAAAGUUCACACAGUGACGGUAACUUACCAGAAAGGGACGGCUAACUACGUGCCAG
rnacentral:rRNA from 1 species